UGUUUGUGUCAUUUUUUUCAACAGGGGCUUCAGGUCUGGUUCACUUUGAUGAAUAUGGAGAGAGGAAUCUUGACUAUUCAGUAUAUGACCUACAACAAACAGAAACUGUCACAAAAUUUGUGUCUGUUUUGGACUUUGACAGCAAUUCGAAAACGAUCAAACCCACAUCAAGGUUUUCUAACAUUGUUUGGCAAAAUGGAAAACCUCCACUAGAUAAUCCGCCCUGUGGUUUUGAUAAUGAGCUCUGUGAAUGGUUAGAAAAUGGUAAUUGUACAUUUCUAAAUGCUAGAUAUCCAUGCACAUAAGUACAGUCUUCUUUUUAUGUAUUUGAAAUGACAUCACAUAAUGUCACUUGAUUCCAGAGAUAUCUCUGCUGGUUCUGCUGGUGGCUUUGCCUGUGUUAGGAGUGGCAGCAGUGGCUUUGAUCACUUUAUUGACUCUACAGAAGACCCGUCUACAGUCUCGCUUGGAUGAGUCCAGCUGGUGGCUUAUCAACUACAGCGACAUAACUAUCCUCAGAGAGCCCAAAGGAACGCAAACACUGUCUGUAAGCACAACACCAAGCAAAUGUGGUAGUGGUGGCUCUCAGUCCAUGCUCUCCACCAACAGCUAUAGUACUAGAGAAGCCAUCUACACUACUAUUGGACUCUAUCAGGUAAAAAUUCUGAAUCACCUGUUAGAAAGUAAUGCCUUACAUGUUAAACCCAAAUAUUUCAACUAACACACUCUCUCU
ensembl:lncRNA